rnacentral:rRNA from 1 species
UACGUAGGGUGCGAGCGUUGUCCGGAAUUAUUGGGCGUAAAGGGCUCGUAGGCGGUCUGUUGCGUCGGGAGUGAAAACUCAGGGCUUAACCCUGAGCCUGCUUCCGAUACGGGCAGACUAGAGGUAUGCAGGGGAGAACGGAAUUCCUGGUGUAGCGGUGAAAUGCGCAGAUAUCAGGAGGAACACCGGUGGCGAAGGCGGUUCUCUGGGCAUUACCUGACGCUGAGGAGCGAAAGUGUGGGGAGCGAACCGG